rnacentral:misc_RNA from 1 species
CACGAAGAGGCCUCCAUCGGUCUUUCAACCUUGCCUAUCGUACCCUUUUCGUUGUUCCCUCGGCGGGGUAAAGCCCGCCGGCGGGAAGCUCGAAAAACCCUUUGCAAUCAGCAUCCAAAAACUCUGAUUACAAAACCUUAAAUCGUUA